rnacentral:misc_RNA from 1 species
GCUUAAGAGCAUCUUUUGAGAUAAAUUCCAUGCAAAUAUACACAAUUUGUUGCUUUCAUCUGGAUAUACAGGGUGGUGAAGAGAGCAUGUGCGAUAACAAUGGCACAACUAGGCGAGUAGUUACCAUGAACAGCACAAGCACUUUAUGUUCAAAAGUCAUAACUGAUCCUAUGAGCAAUAGAUUGAAUAUUGAGUAGCAGCCUCAAACAUACUGUGUAACAACCAACGCUACAAGCAAUAGAUCGUGAGCAACCGCCUCAAAUAAACAAUCCCUUUACUGGUGAAAUCACUUUUUUGCAAAACUAAGCUAUUAUGGUCUAAGAAAGCAAAGCUCUUAAUCAUAAGAUGCUCUAUUGGUCCCAAGCUCCACAUAGGGUUGCUAAUUGGGUGGAGUCUUCCCACAGCAAUGUGGACAAAAAUCUAUCACAUGGUCAGCAGUCCUACUGUUCAGGAAGAACAUAAACCACUCAGUAGUUGUACCUUCUUCUAACAGGACUCUGCUGGCAGAAUUCUGGUCAUUCUUCUUGCUUACAUCUUCUUUCGUCAAAACUCGUUUUUUUCCCAGUCUUCAAGUCAUUCAGAGCUUCAGUUCUUCAACCAGCUCUGAUGUGAAUCAGGGAGCCUAAAGAGCCCUGG